AAUUCUGUGAUGAGGGAAUUUUUGUAACAAUUUUUUAAAUCUUUCCCACACCUCAUACAAGGAAUCAUUAUACAUCUAUUAGAAAGUAGUGAUCUCAUUCUGCAACU
rfam:Gossypium raimondii Chr04_contig_263, whole genome shotgun sequence.